rnacentral:rRNA from 1 species
GAGUAAUGCAUCGGGAACGUGCCAUUAGGAGUGGGGGAUAACGUAGCGAAAGUUGCGCUAAUACCGCAUAUUCUGUGAGCAGGAAAGCAGGGGACCGCAAGGCCUUGCGCUCUUUGAGCGGCCGAUGUCAGAUUAGCUAGUUGGUGAGGUAAAGGCUUACCAAAGGCGACGAUCUGUAGCGGGUCUGAGAGGAUGAUCCGCCACACUGGAACUGAGACACGGUCCAGACUCCUACGGGAGGCAGCAGUGGGGAAUUUUUGGACAAUGGGGGCAACCCUGAUCCAGCCAUGCCGCGUGAGUGAAGAAGGCCCUCGGGUUGUAAAGCUCUUUCGGCCGGGAAGAAAUCGCAUGGGUUAAUACCCUGUGCGGAUGACGGUACCGGCAUAAGAAGCACCGGCUAACUACGUG